UUUUAAAGAUAAAAAAUUUUAAAUAUAUAUAUUAUUAAUUCAACUUUUAUAGAUAUAAAUCACAGCUAUUUAAAUCACAGCUAUUAAUUCAACUUUUAUCACAAAAUAUAUUAAUUUUUUGUCAUCGGAUCUAAUUCAAUAACCGACAAAUUAAGUAUCUGUCAUUUAUCAAAUUUCAUAUUUUAUACGCAUACCUUAUCUCCUAAUAAUCGCGCCACCUAUAUAGUAUUAUAUUAUAUAUAAUGAAUAAAAAAAUAUUUCAUUACCAACGGUUAUGAUUAAUUUAUUAAAAAAUAUUUUAAAUAAAAAGGAAUGGUUAUAGUCAAUCUAUUAGAAAAUAUCAUUCUUAUCAAUCAAUAUAUCAAAUUCUACGAUUAUGAUUAAUUUGUUAUAAAAUAUUUCAACUAAAAACGAGGGUUACGAUCAAUCUAUUAAAAAAUAGUAUUUUUGUUCAUAGAUUUUAUAUUAAAAUUAAAAUUUGAGUUUAAAUCAUGAAUUGAAUUUAAUUUUGGACAUAAAUUUG
rnacentral:lncRNA from 1 species